rnacentral:tRNA from 1 species
ACCUGAAUGGCUCAGUCCGUAGAGCAUGUGACUUUUGAUCUCGGCAUCGUGAGUUCGAGCCCCACGUUUGGUG